rnacentral:misc_RNA from 1 species
AAGGAUCAUUAAAGAAAUUUAAUUGAUUUGUCUGAGCUCGGAGAGAGACAUCUCUGGGGAGGACCAGUGUAGACACUCAGGAGGCUCCUAAAAUAUUUUCUCUGCUGUGAAUGCUUAUUUAAUCCUGCCCGCGCUUAAGUGCGCGGUUGGUGGGUGUUCUGCAGUGGGGGGAGGGAGCCGACAAACACCUGGGAGUGUGCGUGGAUCUCUCUAUUCCAAAGGAGGUGUUUUAUCACACCACUCCACACUUUCUAAUUACUACACACAGUGGAUUUUACUUUACUACUAUUCUUUUGUUCGUUGGGGGAACGCUCUCUUUCGGGGGGGAGUUCUCCCAGUGGAUGCAAACACAAACAAAUAUUUUUUUAAAAUAAUUCAGUCAACACAAGAUUUCUUUUAGUA